GGCUCAGGAUGAACGCUAGCUACAGGCUUAACACAUGCAAGUCGAGGGGCAGCAUGAACAAAGCUUGCUUUGUUUGAUGGCGACCGGCGCACGGGUGCGUAACACGUAUCCAAUCUGCCCGCGGCUCGGGGAUAGCCCAUCGAAAGAUGGAUUAAUACCCGAUGGCGUGGUUUCUCCGCAUGGAGUUUCCACUAAAGGUUUUCCGGCCGCGGAUGAGGAUGCGUAUGAUUAGGUAGUAGGCGGGGUAACGGCCCACCUAGCCUUCGAUCAUUAGGGGUUCUGAGAGGAAGGUCCCCCACACUGGAACUGAGACACGGUCCAGACUCCUACGGGAGGCAGCAGUGAGGAAUAUUGGUCAAUGGAGGCAACUCUGAACCAGCCAAGUAGCGUGCAGGAUGACGGCCCUAUGGGUUGUAAACUGCUUUUAUGCGGGGAUAAAUGAUCCUACGUGUAGGAUUUUGCAGGUACCGCAUGAAUAAGGACCGGCUAAUUCCGUG
rnacentral:rRNA from 1 species